GGAACCCAAGAGGCCAGGCAGAAUCAGUGUGUAGAGGGAGGUAUUCUUGGUGGAGGUAAAGAUGAGGGCAAGAUCAUGCAGGUGGGACCAAAAAGUGCAGGGCAGGGAACUGGGGAGGCUCAGAGUGGCAAGAGCCUGUGCUGCAGGAGGCUGGCUGAUUAUAGGACGAGCUCGUGGGCAGCUUAGAGAGGACUCAGGCUUUGUCCUCAGUGUGAUGGGGCUCCAUCAGACGCAGUAUUUUCAGAAGAGUCUUUGGGCAGUGAGAGAAGGUUGGACAGGAUGGGCAGAACCUGGAGGCUGCAGUCUGCCUAGGGAGGAGGCAAAGGGGCUGACUGGGCUGCUGGGUGGAGGGUCUGCGUGUCACCUGCUGUCUUUGGAGAGCUGCUUGUGUGUCCCCAGCCUCAGCAGCUUAGCCUUGCAGUGCCCGUUAGAGGAGGAGCCACAAACUAGCCAGGAGGGGGCAGUGUUGCCUCGCUCGUGAGUCCAGGCCUGUGCCUACCACCCCUACCCAUUCCGGCUUCGCUGCUUUUGGGCAGACAAGUGCCAGUGCUCCUGUGGGUCUCUGGGGAAGCUGGGGUCUCUGGGACUGGUCUUUGUACUUCAUUAAUUCUUGGUAUGCAGAUCCCCCAUUCUGACUUGCCCUCACCUUGGGACCAGCCCCUCUCCCAGCUCCCUGGGCCACAGGAGGCGUGAGGGACACUUCCACUCCUGCUCUGCAGCCUGGGGCCUGUGGUGGGACGGAGGGCAGGAAGGAUGGAGGGGGAGGGGCUCAGGGAAGCAGGGGAGGAGGUGGAAUAUCCCCAGACCCUGUGGCUCAGGCAGAGGCACGUUCUUCUGCGCCCACUGCCCCAAGAGCAGAGGGAGGCAAGAAGAAAGGGCCACUCAAACCAGCGUCUGAUGGCUCAUCCUUGCAAAUUUGAGCAAUAUUCAGGUUUUAAUUAAAAAGAAAAUUGAAUUGAAGGACUAACUGUGGACAGAAAGGAGCAGAGAAUAUGUUUGGAAUACUAAAAAAACACAACAACUAGAGGGCCGGCCCAGUGGUGCAGCGGUGAAGCAUGCACAUUCCGCUUCAGCAGCCCGGGGUUCGCCGGUUCGGAUCCCAUGGCACUGCUUGGCAAAAAGCCAUGCUGUGGUAGGCAUCCCACAUAUAAAGUAGAGGAAAUUGGGCACGGAUGUUAGCUCAGGGCCAGCCUUCCUCAGCAAAAAGAGGAGGAUUGGCAGCAGUUAGCUCAGGGCUAAUCUUCCUCAAAAAAAACCGCAAAACCCACAACAACUGAAUACUUUAAAUAGAGGGUUGUCGAAAACCCACCAGGGUUGUACCCCACCAGAACCAAGGUCUGAGACCGAAAUUCCGUUCCCCAUGCCAUGCAACCCCCCAGGCCUGGGGUCCUGUGUCUGUCCUACUCUCCCACUCCUCAGUGAAGCUGGCCAGGGCAGGCUCUAGAGAGAGCUAGUGAGCCUAGGGAUCCAUCUGUCUUGCAGCAGAUUAGAAAGAUGUCAUUUUGCCGACAAUGCCAUUUAUCACUUCGGCUGCAAAAAUUAGUGAUGCUUGAGCUGAAAGUGGUGGGUGGGGGUGGGGGAUGGCAGGUGGCAGCAGCUGAUUCUCUCCUGUCACAGGCCAGGGGGGCUGCAGAUCACCUUCUGCAUAGCGGAUUUUCUGAUUUAGUGCCUAGCUCAUCCUGAGGCCCUCCAUUAGAAACAUGAGAAAACUGAGGCAUAGAGCCAGAGAAAUAACUUUGGCCAUAUGACGAAUUAAUGGCGUGUCUCUAAAUAAAGGUCCAGGCUCAGUCAGUGACCAAGGUCAGGGUUCGAUGUGUGACCAGGCUCAGAGCAGGGUCAGGGCUCAGUGUGUGAGCAGGGUCGGGACUCAGUGUGUGAGCAGGGUCGGGACUCAGUGUGUGAGCAGGCUCGGGACUCAGUGUGUGAGCAGGGUCGGGACUCAGUGUGUGAGCAGGGUCGGGACUCAGUGUGUGAGCAGGCUCGGGACUCAGUGUGUGAGCAGGGUCGGGACUCAGUGUGUGAGCAGGCUCGGGACUCAGUGUGUGAGCAGAGUCCGGGCUCAGUGUGUGAGCAGGCUCGGGACUCAGUGUGUGAGCAGGGUCGGGGCUCAGUGUGUGAGCAGGCUCGGGACUCUGUGUGUGAGCAGGCUCAGGAUUCUGUGUGUCAGCAGGAUUGUGGCUUAGUGUGUGAACAGGGUUGGUGCUCAGUGUGAGAGUAGGGUUGGGGCUCAGUAUGUGAAAAAGGUUGGAGCUCAGUCUGUGAAUAGAGUCAGGGCUCAUUCUUGGGUGAAAUCCUUGACUUAUACUAAGACUAAAUCCUGGUUUUUGCCUCCAUGGCUCAGUCUAGGACAGACCCUCAGCCUGGCCCCAGUUGCCACUAGAUGUAAGAUGGGACUGGAAGUUAGCCUUAGAGCUAAAACUGACCCUCAGGGUGGGUUUGUAGUCUUAAAGGAAGGAGAGAAGGAGGCUGGAGGGUUCAGAAUGAAUCUUUGGGGAUGAAGAUGUUUGGAGGAGAGAUGGCCUCCCCAAGAAAGAUAAGCAGCCUCCAGAGAAGAUGGAUGGGGCCUUCCUUGUGCCUCAGCUCACAAAAUGACAGGGUCAUUUAGCUUGGGACCGACCUUUUGACAAAGCAGUCCCAGUGUCUCGGCCUUGCCUCCUCUGUGUUGGUAUGCUGAGGUAGGUGACCUGCAGCAGGUUAGGGGGGGCAUGGCCUCCCAGAUCUGGCUGAGUGCUGCCUUUGUCCCUUCUGAACAACUUGGGAGGUCAGGCUUGACCUGGCAGGAAGCCCUGGUUUAAUUCUUAUAGGACUUAAGUCAGUGCCCUCAGGUACUUAGGCCCUGGGGCCUGGCAAGUGAUCACACAGACAUGACCAUUCAUUCAUUCAACAAACAUUUGCUAAGUUCCUGCCCUAUGCCAGGCUCUGGCUCCACCUGGGAGUACUGGAAGAGGGCGAUGGCUCAGUGUAGGGCAGGGGGCCCACUGGAGCUUCCUCCCUUCUCUAGGGGCGGGGAGACACCUGGGCUCCAUGGGUCACCCCCAUCAGGCCUUGGUAAAACUGCAGUCACAAGAUCCUCCUGGACACUGGCUGGGGGGUCCUGAUCUUUGUCAUUCUUUUGUUGCUGGAGAUACCCUGAGGGCCAGUUGUCACUCUGGUUCCCAGGAGCUUGGGGGAUGGUGAUCUUGAACAAGGAGCAAAAGAGGGGACCUGUGUGCAGGGACACACUGAUGUAGCAUACACAGGCACACAGGUAAGGAUUGUGCACAAACACACAGCCCUUACCCAUAUAUACAUGGAAACAAGACACAGACUCUCCUUAUAGCACAUGCUCACACACACAGGCACUCACACACAUACACAGAAAUGCACAGAUACCACACCUUACUCUACUCACAUCCCUGACACCAGACAACACACUCAAACACAGGCCUUAUACUACACUUACAGGGAAAGAGAUAGACACAGACACGCUUACACUGCGCAUGCACACAGACACCACACCAUACACGACACACGCCUUUACGACUCUCAUCCACAGCCCUGUCUCUGCAAGCACCGCUUUAUCUCUUUCACGUACCCACAGCCACCCAGGCUCGCCCACACCCCCACUGCCCUGGAGAAGUUAAGUAGACAAACCACAAGAAUGCCCCUCUCUCCUCCCCGCACAUGCAGAGGUACAGAGAGGGUGGUCUGUGGGAGGGGAGGUCUGGAGGGUCUCUGUGCUCAGGAAGGAGUUGGGGCAUCAUUCCCAGCCGUGGGGUCAGAGGAGCUGCUGGCUGGCUUUCAGCCCUCCAGUCUGGGGUCCUGCCUCUAGAUAGGACUUGGUUGGGAGCCCUGGGCCACAAAGACCAGUCAGAUCCCUUCUCCCUGCCCCCAGUGCUCAGAGACCCCCUCCCUCCAGGAGCUGCCCAAGCAUAGGAGCUCCUGCCACCAGCUCUCCUGUUCUGCGGUCCUUGGCCCUGGGGUGGGGGCAGAAGCUGCAUCCCCUGGCUCCGUGGAAGCGGAGAGUCUGCCUCUGUCCUGUGCCUGCGGCUUCUCCUCUCCCUCUUCUCUCUCCACCUCUCUCAUCUGGCUCUCCUCCUCUCUAAGGCUGCCUCCCUCUGGCUCUCUCUUCUCUUCUCUCUCGCUCUCCCUCUUACUCCCCGCGUCUCUCUGCCCUGUUUAUCCUCUAGAAUAGAGAUGGACACUUUCAAUUACCCCCAGAACACCUGAGCAGCUCCUGGGGGCUCUGACAAGAGGAGGAGUGUGCUUGGCGGCCUGUGGGGACCGGUCUCACCGCCCUUUGUGUGCUCUCUCUCUCUCCGGAGACUUCCUUCCUUCCUGGGAGAGUGGAAGCAUGUUUCCCUUCAGUGAGGAAGGGAGACAAAGAAGAGAAAAAAAGCACUGUCUUCACUGUCGUGUAAACAGUGUGUAGUGCAGAGAGGGGCUGAAGGAAAGACAGGGACAGAGAAAGCGGGGGAGGGCAUGGGGAACUGGUGAGGUGGAUGAGCAGAGCCAUUACCACAGGCUGGCUGGGCGUGGGCACCAGGCGGGGCUGCCAAGAGGAGGAGAGAAAUGAAAGGGUCGAUCUGGGAUGGUGGAAGGGGCCCGAGGAGGGACACCUUCAUGCUGAGAGCCAGGCAGGGUCAAGGAGGGAGGGGACCAGUUAUUCUCUGGACGCUCAGCCACACCAGGCUCUGGGGAUGCCAAGGUGUGUAAGAUAGACAUGCGUCUGCUCUCAUAGAGUGUAAAGUCUACCAGAAACAAAGCAAUGGCUUCAUGUGUUCAGCACUUGCCACGUGCCUGGCACUUACACGAGCUAAGAGUCAGAGAGUGUGGGUGACCUGCCCGGUGAUAUACAGCCAGGACUGGGGGCAUCAGGAUGCCAGCCCAAGUCUAUCUGACCCCAAUCCUCCCUUCACACAGCCUCUACUAGGGGCCUGGGGGCUUGGAGAGAGACUUGGCUCUGCCAUGACUGGUGUUGACCUUGAACAAGUUCUCCCCUCUCUGGGCCUCAGUUUCCCCAUCUGAAAGUGGAGAAAAUGUUGGCUGCUCUGCAGGGCUGUGGGGAGGAUCAAAUGUCUGGAUGCAAGUAGUCAUCUAGCUCUGGUUUCCUGGAGACCCAGCCGAGGGUGUGGAGGAGCAAAGAACACCCAGCGAUGGGGGAGGGACUGGCCAGCAGCAGCCGCAGCCUGGACCCCAGCUUAACUCCCUGCUGCCACCCAGUGGCAAGACUUGAGUAAUGCAGAGGAUGGGUCUGGAUGGACUUGCAUAAGGGUCAGAGCUGGAAGAGGCCUCUGGGGAGUCUGGUCCUCUCUGGCCGGGCUAUGCAGAUACCCAGAGAGAGGAAGGACUUGCCCCCAGGGCACUCAGGGAAGAAGCUUGGGCUGGGCCUGGGACUGGGUCUGGGAUUGGCUUUCAGGACAAGGUGCUUUCUUUCCCACCCUGUGAUGCUGAGGAAACCCCCAAGUGGCCUCAGAGCAAGAGAGGUGGAGCUCUGCAUCCUCUGCUUGAAGCCACUUCUCCCAGGGAAGCUUCCAGGAUUUCCUCCAGCAGGAAGUGACUUCACUCCUGCCCUUUAUCCCCACAUAUAUCCUCUCCUUGCUCUUCCUGCUCCACCUGCCUUGAACUGCACCCCCUUCCCCUAGCAAACCAGGCAAUGGGGCCCCUUGAGACAUCAGGGAUGACGAAGAACCAUCUUCACCACCUAGGAAGCACCUACCAGGGGCCCGGCUCUGUGCUGGGGCUUUACCUGCGUUAUGUCACUCGAACUUCAUAAUGACCCUGGGAAGUCGCAAUUACUUUUGAGCUCCAUUUCUCAGGUGAGGAAACAGGCACAGAGAUGUUAUGACUGUCAGACACAAAGUGGUAGAACAGAGACUCAAACCCAGGUCCGUCCAUUCUCUUGAGAGGAGCCGUUAUCUGGAGAUGAAAACUGUUCCUGUGGCCAUACAACCAUCAAUCUGACCAGACACUGAAAUGACUAGUCCAGGGUCUCAGGUCUGAGCCACACAACUGUGCUGCUGUGUGAUUCUGGGCAAGGCUCAUCCUUCUCUGGACGUCUGGUUCCUCACCUGUGAAACGUGUGCAUGUGUUCUGGAUUCCCUCAGAGAUCCAUUCUGGAAUCUGGCAUGUCCAGCCCUGGGCCCUGGGAUGGGUCUGCUGUGAAGGGCACUGUGGGG
ensembl:lncRNA